rnacentral:rRNA from 1 species
UACGAAGGGGGCUAGCGUUGCUCGGAAUCACUGGGCGUAAAGCGCACGUAGGCGGCUUCUUAAGUCAGGGGUGAAAUCCUGGAGCUCAACUCCAGAACUGCCUUUGAUACUGGGGAGCUAGAGUCCGGGAGAGGUGAGUGGAACUGCGAGUGUUAGAGGUGAAAUUCGUAGAUAUUCGCAAGAACACCAGUGGCGAAGGCGGCUCACUGGCCCGGUACUGACGCUGAGGUGCGAAAGCG